GUCAAGACAUUGAAAUUAGUGGUCCCAUCGAGAAAUCCCAUUUUUGGAACAAAUAACAUAGGCAAAAUUACUAACCAAAGUCAAAUUCCAACAAUAUGUCAUGGGGCCCUUUGUACUGAAUGCGAGCAUUGAUGCAGCAAGUUUCGUAAAUUUUUCUCGACCCUUUCUUUUUAGGUUAGAGGCCUCAUCUGCGAAUACAGACUUGUCAAGACAUUGAAAUUAGUGUUCCCAUCGAGAAAUCCCAUUUUUGAAACAAAUAACAUAGGCAAAAUACUAACCAAAGUCAAAUUCCAACAAUAUGUCAUGGGCCCUUUGUACUGAAUGCGAGCAUAGAUGCAGCAAGUUUCGUAAAUUUUUCUCGACCCUUUCUUUUUGGUUAGAGGCCUCAUCUGCGAAUACAGACUUGUCAAGACAUUGAUUAGUGGUCCAAUCGAGAAAUCCCAUUUUUGGAACAAAUAUCAUAGGCAAAAUACUAACCAAAGUCAAAUUCCAACAAUAUGUCAUGGGGCCCUUUGUACUGAAUGCGAGCAUUGAUGAAGCAAGUUUCGUAAAUUUUUUCUCGACCCUUUCUUUUUGGUUGGAGGGCUUCAUCUGCGAAUACAGACUUGUCAAGACAUUGA